UGAGUCAGCCGGAUGGCCGCGGCGCUCUUUCGAAAGGAAAGCGCUGAGGAAAGUCCGGGCUCCCAGGGCAGGAUGCCGGCUAACGGCCGGUGAAGGCGACUUCAAGGAAAGUGCAACAGAAAGAGACAGCCGGAUUCGUCCGGCAACGGUGGAAAGGUGAGGUAAGAGCUCACCGGUGUCGCGGCAACGCGGCAGCCAUGCAAACCCCAUCCGGAGCAACGCCGUGGAGGAACAACUGUCGCCCGCAGGUUCCAUGGAGGCGGCUUGAGUCCUUCGGCAACGAAGGAUCGAGAUAAAUGGUCAUCCAAGACAGAACCCGGCUUACAGGCUGACUCAGUCC
rnacentral:RNase_P_RNA from 1 species